rnacentral:rRNA from 1 species
UACGUAGGGUGCGAGCGUUGCCCGGAUUUAUUGGGCGUAAAGGGCGCGCAGGCGGCUACGCACGUCCGUUGUGAAAUCGCUCGGCUCAACUGGGCGGGGGUCAGCGGAUACGGCGUAGCUGGAGCAAGCUAGGGGGGCAAUGGAAUUCCCGGUGUAGUGGUGGAAUGCGUAGAUAUCGGGGAGGAACACCAGUGGCGAAGGCG